CGAACCCUCACCUGUGUCCGGACCCUUAUUGCAGUGCUGCGUCCCAUUUCCCUUUCCCCCCGGACCGUGGCAUCCCAGUGAUUUUUACGUUCUGUAUCUCUGAACACUUUACACAUACAAAACUUGUCUGACCAAAGCGUAUGACUAAUGUAGUUCCCAUAGCUUUCUGUAGCCUGGACAAAGUAAAAGGGCACAAUUUUAUGCUCACAAAAAUAUAGUACAUUCUAAAUGGCAAAACCUCUAGAACUCACCAUCUUUUACCAUCCAUAAGUGUUCAUAGACACACAGAAAUUUUGUGUUCAGUUAAAUAAAGUGGUAAGUGAGUGAAAGCAGGGACUCGUAAUGGAAAGUGUCAGGCAACCUUAAAUCGAGGCAGCUUCAUAUGUACUGUCUGGGAAAAAGCUGAGGAUGUGCUGUUCAUUCUUUUUAGUUCAGAGGAGCGUAUGGUUACAGGGUAGAAUUACUGGUGGAUCAUUUGCCGCAGACAGUAGUGGAACAGUCUUUCUUUCUUUGCUGUCUGUACAGAGAUGUUGAGGCAGGGGAUUGUGGAAAAUUACUAAAAACUGGGAGUGCAUUCUAAGAUCUGGAUUCUUUAGCUAUAUACACAAAAGGAUACAGAAUAUAUGUGGUGCUAUGCCAUCCUAAACAGCAUUCAUUCCCUCUACUGCAAAGUGCAAACCUAAGUUCAGACAAAAAUAUAACAUUUAUUACAUGCGAGUCUCAAAACUAAUCUCCUGUCCAGUGAAACAAACAAGUUCACCUGAAGCUGACUGAUGUCCAGCACGAUGAAUCAUAGCUUAAAACAGCGAUAAGUGAGUCAGUGGGACAAAGCCAAGCAAAAUAUAGAAUAAACUCAGUCUUUUUGAUACAGUGGAGUUGCCUGUUAAAGAGAAAACUAUAAGGCGGUUUUCAAAAGAACUACUUCGAAGGUGCUAUUGAUCUCACAAAGGUUUUCUUGCACUUCUGAGAGGGUGAAAAAUUAUAACUAUUAUAGCGAGACUUCUGCGAGCCCAACAGCUGUCUGGAAGCAGCCACAGUAGAGCACUGGAAGAAAUAUCAAUUUUUUCCACACUCACAGUCCUGAUACUUCAAGUCAGACUUGCUACUGCUCUAACUUUUUGACUGGCCAUGUUCCAGCUGUCUUCACAAGAAAAGUAGCACAGGGGUAGCAGAAGAGGCAGCAUUUCAGAAGUCCCUCUAACAGAGUGCCAACUACAGCAAGUGAAGUGGUACGGGUUCAGAGCAGUUGGACAGAUAGCCAGGCACAACAAGAGCAGCCCGUAAAUAGGGGAGGGCAUGCCCCAAGCACCCUUAUCACGCUUGACACUUAGUGCCUACUCAGAAAAAAAGUUGCUGCCUGCUCUUCCUCUGCCGGGGCCUACUAAGGGAUAUGUGUUCUUGCCUGCGUCAUGCCCAUAUUCAUGACAAAUUGAACACAAACCCUCAUGUAUUAACUGUCUAAGCAUAUAAUUUUGGAUAUUAGGUGGGCUGCUGAGAAACCAACAGCUUACCUUAUAACUCUGGUAUCUCUCAAAUAACCUGAUUGGAGCACAUGUAAAGUCUGAAUACAGAGUCAUGUACAGUGCUUUUCUAAUUGCUGAAGUGAAACACUUUCAAUUCCUGGCAAAGAGGCUUCUGCUGCUGCCAUUAGAAAGCAGUAAUAUGUCUAUACUGUAACCACCUAAUUAUACACAUAGGCAUAAUCACAUAAUGUGUCACUACUCUGUAAAAAAAAAAUUCCUGCCUGUAAAACUUGUGCAGAGACAUCCACAGAAAUAUGAACAGUAUUGCAUUCUCCCAAAUGUAAUUUGCAGAAGUGACUGAAAAAACACUUCUUUCCUCCUGUGGGGACUGCCUGAUAUCUCAAAACUGUUUUUGUUCUGAGCUGAGCAACAAAACAAUAAGAACCUUUAUAGAACAGAAUAUUACCUAGGAAAUAUCAAUUAAUGUUAGAAGAUAUUUUAAUUUUGAUGAGUGUGAAACAUUGUCUCCUUCACCACUGUUCAAUGGCAUAGUGUAUAUUUUCUAAUGGAAAAAAGACUGAUUUGGCACAAUUCAUUUCUGUCAUUUGAAAUUUAACUUGAUUUUGUAAUGGGAUGAGGUAUUAACAGUUUGGUUUUCUAGCUCUAGUUGUACUCAGACAUUCCAUAAAUACAGAAAAAUACCUUCUUAUUUUUGCAGAAAUCAAUCCAAAAAAUCAUACAUGGUAAGCUGUUUGAAUACCAUUAAGGUAUUAAUUUUUUUAAGGUUCCUAUCUUGCUUUCAGUGUCACCUAGAAGAAAAGCAGGUUGUGGCAAGUAUUGCGAUAAAAAAUUAUUUUCAUUACUGAACACAAAAUUGCAUCCUCUUCAAUCUUUGUGAAGGGUCAGGCUAGAAUCUAAGUGAUAGCAUACAGUCCAGGCAAGGAAUGUGGACAAUUAAACAAUACUUCAUACUGUCAACAGCUUUAAAAAAUAAUAAUACCUGUGCAGACACCUGAUUUAUUUAUUUGUUUAUUUAUAUUUGUGCACAGCUUUAGGAGCUGAUAAUGCUAGAUACAUGUGGGUGUAAGGCUCACUGAAAUGGACUGAGGAAAACUGAUAGAUAUCUCAUUAUGAUUACCUAAGUAGUAUUCCAUUAGAGUGAAAGAACUGAUAGGAAAGGAUAUGAACUAAGCCUUCUGUUGGGAUCACCUGUAGCAUUUCUUCUCUCCUCCAGCACAUUAGUGGGCUCUCCUUGAAAAGAGUGGUCAAAGGGUCACACUGAUCAGAGUAGUCCGAACUAACUAUGGCAUAAUAAGUGUUCAUGGCAAGAUACACAUAAAUGGAAGGCAAAUAAUUAGUAAUUCCAAGCAUCGUGGUGAUGAUGAGACACCUGCAGGAUAAUCAUCCAAAUCAAAUAUUUGUCUCAGCUUCUUCAGAUGAUCUAUCUCUUCCUGCAUCUGAUGAAUGUCAGUGAAGCAGAGCGUGUGCUGAAAGGCAAGGGUGCCAGCUUGGAAAGGCAGGAAUCCUCCUCCCGCAUGCAGCAGCCUAAAUGUUGACAGUAUUAUGCUGCAUGAAAAAAGAGAACCUAAUUUACUCAAAGCUUGACCACAAAACUUCCACAUUCAGUCACUUAUGCACCUAAAAAGUUGGUAGAAAAUACUUUUCUUCAUCUAUACAGUACUAUAUGUAAAGGAUAUUUGCUUCCAGAGGUUCUCGGGGCAUAUCAAUAUGUGACAUUUCUCCUCAGAUAGAAAGCUUUUUCUCCUCUGAAGUACCACGUAGUACUUUUAAACGUUUUUUCAAGGAAGAACUAGCCUUGUAGGUGGGCCAAAUGUAGUAUAAUGUGCUUACUUUCCUCAGAUAUCUGUGAAACAAUUAAGCUGGGGGUGUUUUUUCCCCUUAUUCACUGAAGGGCAUAUUCACUGACUGGGAGUUUCACGUAUGUCUAGGACAAAUAGAUAUUUUCCAAAAAUUAGGGGAAAUGCUAAAUAGUCUUGAAAUCUGACAUUUGAAGUGUGUUUCCAAGUGUGGCCUCAGUGCUGCCCUCUUCACCAGAGCCAUGGAGAUCCACACACUAAAUGCAAUUUAUUAUUUUUCUACAAAAAAAGUGAAAUUGGUUCCCUUCACUGUCGACAAGUGUUGCCACACUGGAGGAAACAUCCACAUUCAACUGUGGAUGCUUUCAAAAUCCAUUUGGGGUUCACAGAAUGCCUGCUAUCAGAUGCUGCCAAGUAAAUUUGCUGAAUUGAUAUCUAAAUCUGUUUCCUUUCUGCUUCCACUGCUUUAGCCAAUUUCUGUGGAUGUGAUGGGCACCCUUCACUUUCCUGGCAGUGGCUUUGUAUGUCUGUCUGAGGUCACACGGAAUUUCCUAGGCCAGAAAUAAUGACCUGGAGUGUAUCUAGGUUUGAGAAAUGUUUUUAGAUCCCACUGUGUGUGCCUGCUUUUUACCUUCCUGAGAAGAAACAUAUCCUGCAUACCCACAUGUAUGAUGUGGACUAGAGCUUUCAAAAUCUGUUAGAUUUUUGAAUAAUCACAUAAGACUCAUGUGACUAAAAAAGUGAAUAGUAAGUAAUUGCAGUUUCAUCAAUAAAUGUCUCAUCUAUCAUUUCCAAGUCCAACUUAUAUCAUAUGAAGAUUUGAAACUUCAUGCCUGUGUCACUACUUCAGUGUAGGCAGCAGUAACAAAGAAUCCUGAGUUCAUGGUCUUUUCUGAGUUUGGAAACUCAUACGGAUAAAAUUUAAGCACUCUGGAAUAUAGACAGACAAUGAGUACAUUUGUCAUCUUGUCACUUUACCUCCAUGUAUUUAUUAAUUCUCUUGUGAUUUAACUGGGGACCAUAAGAAAAAAAUUAAACAUAACAAAACUGUACUGUCUGCCUCUCUCUGUCCCUCCUGUAUUUUGAAUCCUGAUAUCACAUAAAUAUACAGAUAUGCAUAUAGUUAUGUGUAUUUUGGUGAUAUUUAUGAUUAAGGAUCAGAGAGAGAUGGAUAAUCCAAGUAACUUUUUGGAAACUAAUGCUGUUUUGAUUGACCCCUGUCUCCAAUACUCCUGAGAUUUUAGAUUGUUCAGAUUGGGGUUUACCUUUUGUUUUAAUAACUUGGGUUAGUAUGUCUUCGGAUAUGGCAA